AGGAAAGGAUGUUAGACUGACUUAGUUAGACUGUAGAUUUGCAACGUGUGUAACUGUGUAUACUGUUCCAGUUCCCGCCAUUGCUGAAGCCCCACAACAGAAUGCUAACUCUAAAGAUUGUUACGUGAACACUUUGAGGAAGUUUCCAAUCUUUCACGAUUUGGCUGGAAUUGAGAAAAAAUUCGAGGAUCCACCAAACCAAAUGGAGCCUGUGGUUUUGACUUUCAGCAGUCGAGGCGAAGAUCAGCUCAUCCUGGCGGACGCGUUCAGCCGACGACUUCAUUCCGCUCUCCUGAAUCCCGUAAACGACUAUAGUCACCAGCCAACGACAUCGUUCGACAAACCAGAUGACGCGGAGGUGUUGGCCGUUGAGCGGAUUGGGCGUCGAUGAGAAACCGUGAAUGUAAAUAGCGAACCAGGUGUACAGCAGUAAGAAAGACCGAGUUGAUAAGUGGAGGAGAGAUUGGCGUCACGACGUAAGUGAAAAGGAUCGACGUGUAUGCUUGGACGAAAAAGAAAGCGGCCAGGAUCCAGACGCCAGCAACUAGUCGAUAGGAUGACGCGGAGGUGUUGGCCGUUGAGCGGAUUGGGUGUCGAUGAGAAACUGCGAAUGAAAAUGGCGAACCAGGUGUACAGCAUUAAGACAGUCGGGAUAGGAUAUCAGCCUGCAUCAUCCGACAAUUUCAUCGUCAAGCAGAUCCAGCUGGAAGGCAGUCCACCAUUUGCUUGCUGUUCCCGUCCCGAUCAUUGCUGAUGCCUGAUGCUGGAAGCCAAUUGAAAAAUCUACCGGGAAUAGACCGAAAUUGAGGUAAGCCAACAACUUGAUAUCUCUUCGCGCGCAUCAUUAGAUCCAUACAAUCGCUUCUAAUAAUUUUUGUUUUACUCGGCCAUUGAUAAGUUCACUAAAUCCACAUAGAUCUCACCCCAAUCCCACUACAAUCACCACCCCUUGACAUAGAAAGUAGUGAAAUGGACUUAAUGCGAAUAUGAAGGCUGAAAUGAAAUGCUGUCUAAGGUCUAAUCAUGAUGUCAUUUUGAUGCGAUCGUGUCAUGCUCAAGGGUUAUUCAUGUUAAAUUUAGUUUAUAUUCUCAAUGGGAAACACACUUUACCGAGGGUGAAUGUGGGCUCUGCUUCCUCUUUCAUUUCAACGCCAUAACAAUUCUAGUUUUGCUGCGAUCUGUAACCCCGUAUAGAAACAAUUAUUUCGCCGAAAAUAGUCAUAAAAGAUAGCGUCAGUCCAAUCGACAAGAAUAUAA